GCGGCAGUGCUUUGUUUUCCCCGUCCUGCUUCAUCUCUUUCCAGACUACACCGGCACCUCUCAGCUCGUCGUCCAGCCUUUCGGAUCUGCCUGGACACUCAGCUCUCCGGCGACCGCACUCGCGACUGUCCGGCGCAACUCUCCUUCCAGCAGCUUUGAUCCAGCUUGAGGAGGUCAUUGACAGGUUAUAUUUUUACUUUUGGUGGGAAUGUGAUAAGUUAGAAGAGUAGUCUACAACAUAUUGUGGCUUUAUCUACUAUAGAAGCAAAGUAUGUGGCUUUAGUUGAGGCUGUCAAGGAGGCUUUGCGGCUUAAAGGAAUAAUAAAAGAGCUUGGCUUGGUGGAUUUUGUACCUUUUAUGUAUUGCGAUUCUUAGAGUGCCAUUUAUUUAUCUUAAAAUAGUGUUUUUCAUGAGAGAACAAAACACGUAAAUGUUAGGUUGCACUUUGUGAGAGAGAUUAUUGGCACAUGUCAGGUUAAGUUUGAAAAGAUUGCAUAUAAAAUUAAGUUUACAGAUGUUUUAACAAAGUUUGUAUCAAUUAACAAGUUUAAGUCAACCUUAGACUUGUUAAAUGUUGGUGAACUCUAGUGUAGUAAGAUGCAGUAAGACAUUUCUCAGAUCAAUGUUUGUCUGUUUUUC